AAUCUUCCACAAUGGGCGAAAGCCUGAUGGAGCAACGCCGCGUGAGUGAAGAAGGUUUUCGGAUCGUAAAACUCUGUUGUAAGGGAAGAACAAGUACAGUAGUAACUGGCUGUACCUUGACGGUACCUUAUUAGAAAGCCACGGCUAACUACGUGCCAGCAGCCGCGGUAAUACGUAGGUGGCAAGCGUUGUCCGGAAUUAUUGGGCGUAAAGCCGGGGAGGGCGGUCUUUUAAGUCUGUUGUGAAGGCCAACGGUCAACCGGGGAGGGUUAUUUGGAAACGGGGGGCCUGGAGGGAGAAAAAGGAAGGGGGAAUUCAAGGUUAGGGGGGGAAAGGCUAAGGAUUUGGGGGAAACACAGUGGGGAAAGCGGAUUUUUUGGCCUGUAAUUAAGGUGAGGGGGGGAAGGGGUGGGAGCAAACAGG
rnacentral:rRNA from 1 species